AUUGAACGCUGGCGGCAGGCCUAACACAUGCAAGUCGAACGAGUGGCGGACGGGUGAGUAAUGUCUGGGAAACUGCCUGAUGGAGGGGGAAAACUACUGGAAACGGUAGCUAAUACCGCAUACCAUCGGAUGUGCCCAGAUGGGAUUAGCUAGUAGGUGGGGUAACGGCCUACCAAGGCGACGAUCCGUAACUGGUCUGAGAGGAUGACCAGCCAGAAUGGAACUGAGACACGGUCCAGACUCCUACGGGAGGCAGCAGUGGGGAAUAUUGCACAAUGGGCGCAAGCCUGAUACAGCCAUGCCGCGUGUAUGAAGAAGGCCUUCGGGUUGUAAAGUACUUUCAGCGGGGAGGCGUUACCCGCAGAAGAAGCACCGGCUAACUCCGUGCCAGCAGCCGAGGUAAUUC
rnacentral:rRNA from 1 species